rnacentral:rRNA from 1 species
AACGAACGCUGGCGGCAUGCCUAACACAUGCAAGUCGAACGAGACCUUCUGGUCUAGUGGCGCACGGGUGCGUAACGCGUGGGAACCUGCCCUUAGGUUCGGAAUAACUCCCCGAAAGGGGUGCUAAUACCGGAUAAUGUCUUCGGACCAAAGAUUUAUCGCCUUUGGAUGGGCCCGCGUUGGAUUAGCUAGUUGGUAGGGUAAAAGCCUACCAAGGAGACGAUCCAUAGCUGGUCUGAGAGGAUGAUCAGCCACACUGGGACUGAGACACGGCCCAGACUACUACGGGAGGCAGCAGUGGGGAAUAUUGGAAAAUGGGCGAAAGCCUGAUCCAGCAAUGCCGCGUGAGUGAUGAAGGCCUUAGGGUUGUAAAGCUCUUUUACCCGGGAUGAUAAUGACAGUACCGGGAGAAUAAGCUCCGGCUAACUCCGUG